AUAUUUCCUGUAAGUGGAAUAGGAAAUGAUCCCUGGAACAUAGCAGCAUUGGUGCAGUCUGCCUCUGAGUAAAUGUGUGUCCUUGUGCUCACAGAUUGAGUGCCACCCAUACCUUACCCAGGAGAAGCUGAUUACGUAUUGCCAUCCAAAGGGAUCUCUGUGACCGCAUACAGUCCCUCGGAUCUCCUGACAGGCCGUGGGCUAAACCAGAGGACCCUUCCCUCUUGGAUGACCCCAAGUUAAGGAGAUUGCAGCCAAG